UGAUGUACAUGCAUGCGGACACAGACCCAUACACAAAAGAUACAUGUAGGAAAAGGAAAAAUCCUUUUCUCGUAAGGAGUUCUGCAGGUCCCAUCCUAAUAGGUAAACAAUUCUAAAAUCUUUUUGUUUCCUAAAUAGGAUCAGAUUAAACGGGAAAAUUAAUUUUAGUUUCCUAAACUAGAGCAUAUGGAAGAGGAAAGUAACUCCAUCAUUGAGUACUUUCCCAAAUAGGAUUAUUUUAAGAAAUGAGACAAAUAUGUUCAAACAAGAAGGCUUGAGGCCCAAAUGAUGCUUAAUGGGAUUU
rnacentral:lncRNA from 1 species